GACGUAGGGUCCGAGCGUUGUCCGGAUUUAUUGGGCGUAAAGAGCUCGUAGGCGGUUCCGUAAGUCAGAUGUGAAAACUCAGGGCUCAACCCGGAGACGCCAUCUGAUACUGCGGUGACUGGAGUCUGGUAGGGGAACACGGAAUUCCUGGUGUAGCGGUGAAAUGCGCAGAUAUCAGGAGGAACACCGAUGGCGAAGGCAGUGUUCUGGGCCAGUACUGACGCUGAGGAGCGAAAGCGUGGGGAGCAAACAGG
rnacentral:rRNA from 1 species